rnacentral:tRNA from 1 species
CAUUAAGAAGCUAUGCACCAGCACUAGCCUUUUAAGCUAGAGAAAGAGGGGCUCCCCUCCUUAAUGA